GGCGCUAUAGCCAAGUGGUUACGGCGACAGAUUCGAAUGGUAUGUGAUAUCUGUUACUCUUUGAGUGCGCAGGUUCGAAUCCUGCUGGCGUCG